CGGGGACCGGCUAUCCGAGGCCAACCGAGGCGCCGCGGGGCUGCCGUAUCGUUCCGCCUGGGCGGGAUUCUGACUUAAGAGGCGUUCAGUCAUAAUCCCACAGAUGGUAGCUUCGCCCCAUUGGCUCCUCAGCCAAUGGGAUCUGAUUUUUUAAGCAGUCACAACACUAGACUUUUAAUUGAGAAAGCUCUGUAAGCAAUUAAAAGCCGCUGUUGUUUUAAACUCUUCUUGUGUCACCUGCUG
rnacentral:lncRNA from 1 species